rnacentral:rRNA from 1 species
GUGGGGAAUAUUGGACAAUGGGCGAAAGCCUGAUCCAGCCAUGCCGCGUGUGUGAAGAAGGUCUUCGGAUUGUAAAGCACUUUAAGUUGGGAGGAAGGGCAGUAAGUUAAUACCUUGCUGUUUUGACGUUACCGACUGAAUAAGCACCGGCUAACUUCGUGCCAGCAGCCGCGGUAAUACGAAGGGUGCAAGCGUUAAUCGGAAUUACUGGGCGUAAAGCGCGCGUAGGUGGUUUUGUAAGUUGGAGGUGAAAUCCCCGGGCUCAACCUGGGAACUGCCUCCAAAACUGCAUGACUAGAGUACGGUAGAGGGUAGUGGAAUUUCCUGUGUAGCGGUGAAAUGCGUAGAUAUAGGAAGGAACACCAGUGGCGAAGGCGACUACCUGGACUGAUACUGACACUGAGGUGCGAAAGCGUGGGGAGCAAACAGGAUUAGAUACCCGAGUAGUCC